rnacentral:rRNA from 1 species
AUGGAGAUCGCCAGGGUCGACCUCCGCGGGCUGGAGCCCGGCGGGCCGGGCUGGGCGGAAGCCCGGGACGCGGUGACGGCGUCCGUCGUGGCGCACGGCUUCGUCGUCGUGGCGCACGACGCGCUCGGCCUGGAGCUCCGGCAGGCGCUGUUCGGCCGCGUCAUGCCGGAGAUCUUCGCGCUCCCGCCGGAGGCCAAGCAGCGGAACGUCUCCGAGGUGGGCCCCUUCCGCGGCUACAUCUCCAACGUCCCCGGCACCAACUGGGAGAGCGUGCGCCUCUCCGAGCCCACCGACGCCGGCCGCGUCCGCGACUUCGCCGACCUCCUCUGGCCGCAGGGGAACCCCGCCUUCUGCGACACGAUCGCGUCCGCGGCCAAGAACGUGUGGGAGCUGCAGCGCACGGUGGAGAAGAUGAUCCUGGAGGGCCUGGGCGUCGGGGAGGAGCGCAUCGGCGCGCAUCUGGACACGCUCGCCCACAGCGUCCGGCUGUCGCGCUACGGGCCCCCGCCGGACGCGGAGACGAACAUGUCCCUGCAGGCGCACCGCGACGACAGCAUCAUGACGGCGAUCGUGCAGCACGGCGUGGAGGGCCUCGAGGUGCAGGUUCAGGACGGGAUCUGGCUCGCGGUGCCGCCUGAGCCGGACUUGUUCACCUUCGUCGCCGGCGAGCUGUUCACGGUCGUGACUAACGGGAGGGUGCCGGGUUGCUUCCACCGCGUGAGGACGCCGAGCAACCGGGAGCGCCUGUCGGCGCUGUUCGGCUGCCCGGGGAAGGACGGCGUCCUACUGAGCGCCAUCGACGAGCUCGUCGACGACGAGCACCCUCUGCUGUACCGUCCCUGCACCAACGACGGCUACACGACGUUCCGGCACUCAGAGGAAGGGCGCAAGUCCGGUGAUCCACUGAAGGCCUUCUGCGGGGUGCAGAAGGAUUGA